rnacentral:rRNA from 1 species
UUACACACAGUGUCUUUUUGAUACAGAACUCUUGCUUUGGUUUGGCCUAGAGAUAGGUUGGGCCAGAGGUUUAACAAAACACAAUUUAAUUAUUUUUACAGUUAGUCAAAUUUUGAAUUAAUCUUCAAAACUUUCAACAACGGAUCUCUUGGUUCUCGCAUCGAUGAAGAACGCAGCGAAAUGCGAUAAGUAAUAUGAAUUGCAGAUUUUCGUGAAUCAUCGAAUCUUUGAACGCACAUUGCGCCCUCUGGUAUUCCAGAGGGCAUGCCUGUUUGAGCGUCAUUUCUCUCUCAAACCCCCGGGUUUGGUAUUGAGUGAUACUCUUAGUCGGACUAGGCGUUUGCUUGAAAAGUAUUGGCAUGGGUAGUACUAGAUAGUGCUGUCGACCUCUCAAUGUAUUAGGUUUAUCCAACUCGUUGAAUGGUGUGGCGGGAUAUUUCUGGUAUUGUUGGCCCGGCCUUACAACAACCAAACAAG